UUCUUAACCUCCACGGUGAAGACUAAAGCUACUGGCUGACUCAGAAAAGAGAGAAGACCAUCUACAGAAGAGGCACCAUGAAGCUGCUGCUUGUGUCUGUACUUCUUUGUGCAGUGAUGGUUUUGACCCCUGCUGCUUUUCUUACAGAUAAAGUUGACAGCAGUGGUGCAGGGGAUUUAAUUCCAACAGG